ACACGUAGGGGGCGAGCGUUGUUCGGAAUCAUUGGGCGUAAAGGGCGCGCAGGCGGCCAUGUAAGUCUGGUGUAAAAUGGUUGUGCUCAACACAAUCAUGCGCUGGAAACUGUAUGGCUAGAGUCAACGAGGGGAUGCCGGAAUUCCAGGUGUAGGGGUGAAAUCUGUAGAUAUCUGGAAGAACACCGAUGGCGAAGGCAGGCAUCUGGCGACUGACUGACGCUGAGGCGCGAAGGUGCGGGGAGCAAACAGGUUUAGAUACCCUGGUAGUCCGCACAGUAAACGAUGUGCACCAGGUGGCGGGCAGCAGUGCUCGGUACCGAAGCAAACGCAUUAAGUGCACCGCCUGGGGAGUAUGCCCGCAAGGGUGAAACUCAAAUGAAUUGACGGGG
rnacentral:rRNA from 1 species